rnacentral:rRNA from 1 species
GUAGGGAAUCUUGCGCAAUGGGCGAAAGCCUGACGCAGCCAUGCCGCGUGAAUGAUGAAGGUCUUAGGAUUGUAAAAUUCUUUCACCGGGGACGAUAAUGACGGUACCCGGAGAAGAAGCCCCGGCUAACUUCGUGCCAGCAGCCGCGGUAAUACGAAGGGGGCUAGCGUUGCUCGGAAUUACUGGGCGUAAAGGGCGCGUAGGCGGACAGUUUAGUCAGAGGUGAAAGCCCAGGGCUCAACCUUGGAAUUGCCUUUGAUACUGGCUGUCUUGAGUACGGGAGAGGUGAGUGGAACUCCGGGUGUAGAGGUGAAAUUCGUAGAUAUUCGGAAGAACACCAGUGGCGAAGGCGACUCACUGGCCCGUUACUGACGCUGAGGCGCGAAAGCGUGGGGAGCAAACAGGAUUAGAAACCCGAGUAGUCC